AGAGUUUGAUCCUGGCUCAGGAUGAACGCUAGCUACAGGCUUAACACAUGCAAGUCGAGGGGCAGCAUGUUGGUUGCUUGCAACCAACGAUGGCGACCGGCGCACGGGUGAGUAACGCGUAUCCAACCUACCCUUGUCCAUCGGAUAACCCGUCGAAAGGCGGCCUAACACGACAUGCGGUUCACAGCAGGCAUCUAACGUGAACGAAAUGUGAAGGAGAAGGAUGGGGAUGCGUCUGAUUAGCUUGUUGGCGGGGUAACGGCCACCAAGGCUACGAUCAGUAGGGGUUCUGAGAGGAAGGUCCCCCANAUUGGAACUGAGACACGGUCCAAAACUCCUACGGGAGGCA
rnacentral:rRNA from 1 species